CUGUCUCACACCUAAGAGAUCAACUCCCCGACCCAAAACCCCAGUGGCCACAAUCACAGAAACCUCCCCCACCAAAAAUGACCUCAUGAUUUCUCUUCUCUCCUUCAUGGACUUCUCCCCAUGGAUUGAUAGAGCCUUCAAACCUGUGGUAACCAUGAUUGCAUUAGACAGGAGAUCUGCCCCAAGUCUUGAACCCACAUAUACAACCACUGGUGGCAAAAAAUGCUGCUUGCUCAUCAAAAUGUCAAAAAGCUUUUGCUUCUUUUGCUUUAACUCAACCCAGAUAGCCAGCUGUUUCACAGCCUUACUUGGCCUGUUAGGCUGGCCAAUGGAGACAAUAACCAUAUCUUUUGCCAUAGAGCUUGCCAUCUUCUC
rnacentral:misc_RNA from 1 species